rnacentral:lncRNA from 12 species
CGGGGGUCCCCCCACUUUGCCCCGAGGGCUAUGCCUGCCCUGCCGGCUCUUCUACCUACAGUGGCCCAGGGCAGCUGAACAGAGAGCUACCACAGCCAGCCCUGCCCAGUAGGGCACUACUGUCCAGCCGGGACUUCCAGCCCCAGGCCCUGCCCAUCGGGAACAUUUAGAAACAGCAGCCAGGCAGGGGCAGCUGGAGAGUGCCUACCAUGCCCUGCGGGCACCUUUGGUCCCCAGCCUGGCCAGCCUGGCUGCCUCCCCUGUGGGAGCUCUGCUUUCUCUCUGCCUGGACCACCUGCAUCCAGCCCCUGGCUACAAAGGCGUCAUCGGACUACGGGCUCGGAGCACCCUGUCCCUCGUGACCCCCACAUUCAUCCCCAUAUUCCAAAUCCAAUGGUCUGCCUGGUAGAGGGGGAUGUGAUUCUUUUCCAGCUUCAUAUUCUUCCCCACAAUCGCUCAGCCAGUCACUACCCUGUGUACCAGAUGCAGCAUCUGUUCAACAGCAACCCCCACUGGGACUUUGGUGCCUUCAGGAGACUCAGCCACCUGGUACAAGAGACUCACCUCAACCUCUCAAGGUUUGCCCACCAAUUUCUAGAUCCAGGCACAUAUGUAUUUCAAGACAACGGGCUGCCUGAGAGCAUCAUGGUGGUGCUGGUAAAGAAGAAAGGAGCAGCCUGCGAUCCUGGUCUAUCCCCUAUACAGCCCUCCUCCCCAUAUCAGCUGGGCAGGCACGGAGUUCUCAGGCACAGACCACCGAACCUGGGCCCAGACUGGGCAGUGAUCACAGGAGUGCUACUGGCUAUUGGUUUAGCAACCUUUCUGCUGACAGGCCUCAGCCUCCUACUGAGACCCCCACCGGCCCAGGCCUGCCCUGUGAGGACUUGGCAGCCCCAGUGGAGGGGCACUGGGGAACCUCACAUGCCCACUGAGUAUGUGCCCCUCAGAGACAGCCUUCUGUCUUAUGAAGACCUUGGUCCUCGGGGAUCUGGGGAAGGAGCUGAUUCCAGGGAGAAAGCCAUUACCCAGGGCACAGGAGAGCCACUCCUUGUGAAGACCCUGGAGGACUUCAGCAUCCGUACUCUCUAUAACAAGCUCGAGGACCAGAAUCUGCACGUGGCAGCCCAGCUGAGGAAGCACAGGAGUGAUGCCCUGGCCUUCUACAGGGGUGCAAGCCUACAGCUCCAGGGUCUCAAGGACAUUCUGCAGCCUCUCUGCACAACUGAGCAGCAGGCUCUGGACAGGAGUGAAGGCCCAGCAAUGGAAGCCAACACUGGUGCCAGGACAGACACGGGGCAGAGUGAGGAAUCAUGGGGUCACCGCACUGCAGCUUCACCCAGGGCACACUGGCGACACCCUCUAGGCUGCUCUGCCAGUGUCUCACCCCUGGGCUUUCAGUCAGAGCUUGACAGAGUGAUCGUGGCCCUGGCAUCAGCACUUUCUCAUGCAUGUGGGCAACCAGCUGGGGCCAACAGAAAGGCCUCUGGUCAGGUUGGUGAACAGCCUCUCCCCACCUGUCAACAAGACCCUCACAGGGCAAGUAACAUGCCCCUGAAGUCACAGCCGCCACCCUCAGAUGGAAAGCACCAAAGUACAAGCUCCCAGCAGGACCUGGGGCCUGGACAGCUCCCACAGUGUACCGCCAAAAGAGGAGACACCAUGAGCCCAGGUUCUAGGGGGUGGAUCCUGGGGCCUGGACUCAGACACAGAGCCUUUCCUGAGUUGCAGAGAAAGAUAUGGCUUGUGGAAGAUGCUUUGGAUGAGCUGAAUGAGGAGUUCUUCCAACUCAGUGCUCAAGCCCUCGAGCUUCAGAAGGAAAAUGACAAGCCAGGCCAACUGCCCCCAAGUGAAGGAAAUGCAUUUGCGGAGGUUCCCAACAUCUUGCCUUAUGUGUGGCUGGAAGACAGACUCUAUCCAGCAGAGGCAGGUGGCCCAGAUGAAGAGAAUUUGAGGAACAGUGCCCUGAGGAGUGAGCAGGCCCUGAUGCUGGGAGUGAGAAGAGCCCACCUGGCUCAGAGGAUUGAAGACCUGGAGUGGGAGCUGUCCCUGCUCCUCCAGGUGACAGAUGGCAGUGUGCGUGCAGGAGGGGACUGGCCCAGCCUAGGGAGACACUGA